GGGGAUUUGGCUCAGUGGUAGAGCGCUUGCCUAGCAAGCACAAGGCCCUGGGUUCAGUCCCCAGCUCCG
rfam:Rattus norvegicus chromosome 8, whole genome shotgun sequence.